UACGAAGGGGGCGAGCGUUGUUCGGAAUUACUGGGCGUAAAGCGUGCGCAGGCGGUUUUGUAAGUUUGUCGUGAAAUCCCCGGGCUCAACCUGGGAAUGGCGAUGAAGACUGCAAGGCUAGAAUCUGGCAGAGGGGGGUAGAAUUCCACGUGUAGCAGUGAAAUGCGUAGAGAUGUGGAGGAACACCGAUGGCGAAGGCAGCCCCCUGGGUCAAGAUUGACGCUCAUGCACGAAAGGCGUGGGGAGCAA
rnacentral:rRNA from 1 species